rnacentral:lncRNA from 1 species
GAGCCCACCUCUCCCUGGUUUCUAUUAUUCACGCUGAUUUGCAGCUCUCAGAGUGUCUAUUUUUUUUCUUAUUAAUUGUUAAUGAGACAGCCAGCUCUCCCAAGGGCAGAGCGAGGUGUUGUUUUCUAAUUCCUCCAAUCAAGAAUAUUGUAAUAAUCCCUCAUUAACUCAAUCAUCUUUCUGUCAGGUAACUGCAGUAUAAUUUAAGGGGUGAGGCUUUAAAUAAAGAUCCUGGCAAAACCAUCAGACUGAUUUAAAGCAUGCCUUCCAUCUCGGUGCAGCUCGUAACAAAUUAGUCUGAAAAUCAGAGCGAGUUGGCAACAAAAAGUCCAAACUCUUUGAAUAUACCUUCUUUACCCUCUUUCUUCCUCUUCCUCAGUCUCUUCUUUGCUUCUUUGCUCAGCAGCAAUGUGCCCCAGUGGAAGGACCUGACUCUCUUUUCCAACCUUGGUGAUUCUAUGAUGCUAUAUCACCCCUGGCAGACAUGACCACGUCUUAUUUUGCAGCUUAUCUAGCCAAGCCAACCAAAGAGCACCAGAAGACGAAGGGACGCUCUGGAUGGGACAGACAGGCCACCAAUAGAGCCAACCAGCCAUGGGCAGAAGAGGCAGAGGAAAGUAUCUCAGCCCUGAACACUGCAGUGGCAAAGUUUGCUCUUCUUUCCACAUCCACAAACAGCAGCUUUCCUAAAAAAGACCUCUGAAUCUGGAACAAACCUCCUGGGAAGGGCUGUAAACCUGCAGGUUCACCUUCGUUUGGUUUUAAGACAAGCUGUCUCACGCAAGAAGUGCAGAGAGCUCAUCAAAAUCCCGGUCUGAAAGCUCAUGCUGCCAGGCACAGGGAAAUGAGGUUUGAGAAGGGACCUGCAAUUAGAGCAUUUUCUGGAUGCACAGCACUCAGAGGCAUAAUUAGCAUUCCCCAAAUUGCUGGAGCCCCAAAGUCUUAAGAAUUGGGUGCUGUUUCCUUUGGCUCUGCAGAAAUAUGCAUCUCCGGGGCACAAACAAGCUCAGGCAGCUAUUUCUUGAAACGUGCACUGGCUAACACUGCGCAAACUCCUUCACAUGCACUGAGAGUUUUAAAUGACUUAAACGUGCCUCUGAGAACGGAGGGGAAAGGGAAAUGGCUGGGGAGACUGGGAGGGUUUGAGUACAUCUGUAUAUGUGCGUGCAGGGAUGUGCGUUCUGUGCCUGACUCAAUGCCACCGAUUUAUUCUUGGUUGGGCACCUGACCACUGAUUAUUUGAAUUAAAUCCCAACGAAAAAC